rnacentral:rRNA from 1 species
CACGUAGGGCGCAAGCGUUGUCCGGAAUUAUUGGGCGUAAAGAGCUCGUAGGCGGUCUGUUGCGUCUGCUGUGAAAACCCGGGGCUUAACCCCUGGCUUGCAGUGGAUACGGACAGACUAGAGGUAGGUAGGGGAGAAUGGAAUUCCCGGUGUAGCGGUGAAAUGCGCAGAUAUCGGGAGGAACACCUGUGGCGAAGGCGGUUCUCUGGGCCUUACCUGACGCUGAGGAGCGAAAGCGUGGGGAGCGAACAGG